rnacentral:rRNA from 1 species
UACGUAUGGGGCUAGCGUUGUCCGGAAUCAUUGGGCGUAAAGGGUACGUAGGCGGAUAAGCAAGUUAGAAGUGAAAUCCUAUAGCUCAACUAUAGUAAGCUUUUAAAACUGCUCAUCUUGAGGUGUGGAAGGGAAAGUGGAAUUCCUAGUGUAGCGGUGAAAUGCGCAGAUAUUAGGAGGAAUACCGGUGGCGAAGGCGACUUUCUGGAAUCUUACUGACGCUGAGGUACGAAAGCGUGGGUAGCAAACAGG